rnacentral:rRNA from 1 species
GACGAACGCUGGCGGCGUGCUUAACACAUGCAAGUCGAACGGGCCUGUCUUCUUUUUUGGGGGGUGGGUUGAGUGGCGAACGGGUGAGUAUCACGUGAGUAACCUGCCCUUCGGUCCUGGAUAACCGCUUGAAAGGGCGGCUAAUACGGGGUGGUCCGGUUGGUCCGCAUGGGCUGGUCGGGAUAGAUUCACUGUUUUUGGUGUUUCGGCGGGGGAUGGGCUCGCGGCCUAUCAGCUUGUUGGUGGGGUGAUGGCCUACCAAGGCGGCGACGGGUAGCCGGCCUGAGAGGGUGGGCGGCCACACUGGGACUGAGAUACGGCCCAGACUCCUGCGGGAGGCAGCAGUGGGGGGUAUUGCACAAUGGGCGGAAGCCUGAUGCAGCGACGUCGCGUGAGGGAUGGAGGCCUUCGGGUUGUGAACCUCUGUUUCCGGUGGUGAAGGCCCUGUCCGUGUGGUGGGGUUGACGGUAGCCGGGGAUGAAGCGCCGGCUAACUACGUG